rnacentral:lncRNA from 1 species
UCCAAGCUUUUUGGCGAUUGUUUUGGUUGUGAGGAUGACUAGGACGUGCAUGCAUUGUGAAAUAAAAAUUGCAACCUAAAGGAAUAAAUUGGAUCUCGUGUAUGUCAUAAAAGCAAUGGACCACGAUAAGGAUUUUCUAGCUGUCCUUUUUCCGCCAUGCAAGUCUUGAUAAAAAUCAUUCAGGUUGUUCCAAGUGAUAACUCUUGAAAAUUUGUAUAACAAAGUUGUGUUAAAGAUCCUAAAUAACUCACUGUAAAAUUUUCAUGAAAAGCUACCACCUAGGUUGAAAGUUAGCAUCAGCUUUGUAACCCCCUGUUUGGCUGAUAACACUGAGGGUACACCAGUUGGAGUGUUACUGUUUCGAC